GACAGAGGGUGCAAACGUUGUUCGGAAUUACUGGGCGUAAAGCGUGUGUAGGCUGCCAUGUAAGUCGGAUGUGAAAGCCCCGGGCUCAACCCGGGAAGUGCACUCGAUACUGCGUGGCUUGAGUACUGGAGAGGUUGGUAGAAUUCUCGGUGUAGAGGUGAAAUUCGUAGAUAUCGAGAGGAAUACCGGUGGCGAAGGCGGGUCUCUGGGCCGAUACUGACGCUGAGGAGCGAAAGCGUGGGGAGCGAACAGG
rnacentral:rRNA from 1 species